GCCACAUCACUGGAAAAUUUUUGGAUGGGUCCACAAGAGCACAAAGUGCAUACUUUUUGAAGAAAAACAUCUUUCAGAUGUAUGAGAAAUUGAUUGGAGCCUGUCUGGAAAACGGCAGCCACUGGACCUUGUUUUUUUGUGACAUACCCAAGAGGACCAUAGUCUAUAUGAAUUCAUUUGGAGAGUCGGAGGCCAGAAAAAGUGCGGUGUUGAAAAACUGGAGGUAAUUAAUUAACAUAUUUAACAUAACAUAUUUAAUUUAAUUGAAAUCAUUACCGAACGUGGUUAUUGAUUUCUCUAUAUGCUUUUUAUUUGUAAUAACUGCGAUCUCUCAGCUCAUUUGCUUCAGCAAGAGGCUGCACUGGAGAGUGGACUUUGUCACAUGUGAGCCACCCACAUCAACAGGAUGGGAACUCAUGUGGAGUGCAUGUCAUAAUGUUUGCCCAAUCUCUCAUUGACGGUAAAACACAAGUGGAGGAGUACAACACUGAAAUCCCAAAGCUCAGGUCCUGACUUUGCCACUACUUAUUUUCCUCAAUAGGUAAAGAUAGAAUUAGCCGCCUUCUUUUUCUCUAACAUUGGAAAAUGCUGUCAGGAAGUGCAGUCAGUGCUGGUGUGUGAUUGCAGCCAAAGACCGGGUACACUAUGACAUGUCCUUAGCCAUAUAGAUUGUUUAUAUAAUGGACUUUGUUCAUUUGUUUUUUGUUUGUUUAUUUCUUCUUCUUUUUUUUUUAAAUUCACAGGUGCAGUGCCAGAAAUGUGGUGCAUACAAACACAUGCGUUGUUCAAAGUCUGUUUGUGGCAUCUGUAUCUUCUGUGAGAGGCCGUAAAGCCAAACUGCCCGCAAUGAUUCUUGACAGGCCUAAGAAGGCCAAAACUAAAGUAACAGUGUUUAGUGUUCUGAGUGAAGAGGAGGCUGGGGAGCUAGCCCUCAGGUUUGCCGGAAGAUUGGCCUGCGAUGUCACAAGAGACAUGGUCUGUAAAGGCAUCGACCAUUCAAGUGCUGAUAUGACAAAGUAAGUUAGUAAAAUAAUAUGAAAGUUGUAUCUUUUUUUGUAUUAUUUGUCAUUUCCCCGUAUUUGGGUUAUUGGUGUAACAUUGUUAAUCUUACUUUCUAAUAACAGACACACCCUUCGCAAAAUCCAACACAACCUUAAACAUGAACUGACUGAUUCCUCAACCUUCAGUUUGCUGACACACACCUUUGGCCCUGCUGCACUGGAUUCUGUCAUUUUGUUCCUGUGUGAAAAACUUGAUCUUGUCUCUUGAAUAAUGAAACCUUUUGUUUGUUCUGUAAAUCAGAAUCUUGAAAAUUGUUCACUG